CCGGACUCCUACGGGAGGCAGCAGUGAGGAAUAUUGGUCAAUGGGCGGGAGCCUGAACCAGCCAAGCCGCGUGAGGGAAGAAGGUACAGCGUAUCGUAAACCUCUUUUGCCGGGGGACAAACGGCGGCACGCGUGCCGUCCUGAGGGUACCCGGAGAAAAAGCAUCGGCUAACUCCGUGCCAGCAGCCGCGGUAAUACGGAGGAUGCGAGCGUUAUCCGGAUUUAUUGGGUUUAAAGGGUGCGUAGGCGGGACGCCAAGUCAGGGGUAAAAUGCGGGGGCUCAACCUGCGUCCGCCGUUGAAACUGGCGUUCCUGAGUGGGCGAGAAGUACGCGGAAUGCGUGGUGUAGCGGUGAAAUGCAUAGAUAUCACGCAGAACCCCGAUUGCGAAGGCAGCGUACCGGCGCCCGACUGACGCUGAAGCACGAAAGCGUGGGUAUCGAACAGGAUUAGAUACCCGAGUA
rnacentral:rRNA from 1 species